CGCUGGCGGCGUGCCUAACACAUGCAAGUCGCGCGAGAACGGGGGGCAACUUCCCUAGUAAAGCGGCGAACGGGUGAGUAACACGUAGGUGACCUACCCUCGAGUCCAGGAUAACCUACCGAAAGGUGGGCUAAUACCGGAUAUGACCACGGGAAUCUCGGUUCCUGCGGUGAAAGGUGGCCUCUGCUUGCAAGCUAUCGCUCAAGGAUGGGCCUGCGCGCCAUUAGCUAGUUGGUGGGGUAAUGGCCCACCAAGGCAUUGAUGGCUAGCUGGUCUGAGAGGAUGGCCAGCCACACUGGGACUGAAACACGGCCCAGACUCCUACGGGAGGCAGCAGUGGGGAUAUUGCGCAAUGGGCGAAAGCCUGACGCAGCGACGCCGCGUGGGUGAUGAAGGCCUUCGGGUCGUAAAGCCCUGUCGAGGGGGAACGAAACGGCUUCGACCUAACAUGUCGGGGCCCUGACGGUACCCCUAAAGGAAGCACCGGCUAACUCCGUGCCAGCAGCCGCGGUAA
rnacentral:rRNA from 1 species